rnacentral:rRNA from 1 species
CUCGUAGGCGGGAAUUUAAGUCCGAGAGUAAAUCCAUAGGCUCAACCUGUGGCCCAUCUCGGAUACUGGAUUUCUUGAGGACAGGAGGGGAAAGGGGAAUUCCUAGUGUAGCGGUGAAAUGCGUAGAUAUUAGGAGGAACACCUGUGGCGAAGGCGCCUUUCUGGACUGAUCCUGACGCUGAGGAGCGAAAGCCAGGGGAGCGAACG